rnacentral:rRNA from 1 species
GUGGGGAAUAUUGGGCAAUGGGCGAAAGCCUGACCCAGCAACGCCGCGUGAAGGAAGAAGGUCUUCGGAUCGUAAACUUCUAACCUUGGUGAAGAUAAUGACGGUAGCCGAGAAGGAAGCCCCGGCUAACUACGUGCCAGCAGCCGCGGUAAUACGUAGGGGGCAAGCGUUGUCCGGAAUGAUUGGGCGUAAAGGGUGCGUAGGCGGCCCGGUAAGUCUGAAGUGAAAGUCCUGCUUUUAAGGUGGGAAUUGCUUUGGAUACUGUCGGGCUUGAGUGCAGGAGAGGUAAGCGGAAUUCCCGGUGUAGCGGUGAAAUGCGUAGAGAUCGGGAGGAACACCAGUGGCGAAGGCGGCUUACUGGACUGUAACUGACGCUGAGGCGCGAAAGUGUGGGGAGCAAACAGGAUUAGAAACCCCAGUAGUCC